AGGCCAACCGCCGAACACCACAGCCGUUAACAGCUUGCUUAAAUCCAACCUACACACAGCUCCACAUGCAUGCCGCUGAUGAGAGGAAACCCCUACCAACUGCCCAAUUGCCUUGUGGUGUCUUAAUAAGCUGCAGUAUAAUUUAAUUAAAGACAAUUAGAUACUGAAGUGCGAUCUUAAAUCAGACACGAGUUGAAUGAGGUUAAGCGCAAACUAAAAGAACAAUUGGAGUGCUUAUGCUUGGAAGGAAAGAGGACUGCACUGAUAGAAGCUCAUAUCCAAAAUCUGAGGAAUUUCAUUCAUCUUCUCAUCACUAAUUAUAAGGAUCAGAAAAAUACAUUUCUCCAUCAUGGCUUGAUCUAGAGAAUAUCUGGACUUCACAAAUAAGGCAGCAAUACCAGUAUGUUGUAACUAAAGUAUUCCUACGUCAAAUGCGUGUUACCAGCAGUGCUUUUUCCAUCUCACAGGAUAUUUUUGUUUAAAAAAAUAAUUUUCAGCACAGAAGUGAUUUCCUUUUUUACACCUCUCUAAAAUCCUAUUUUGCUUCUCAGUCAGCUCUGGAGAAUCAUUUUGAAAUUAAACUUACACAUCUGCA
rnacentral:lncRNA from 1 species